GAUUAACGCUGGCGGCGUGCAUAACACAUGCAAGUCGAACGAUGAAACUUAACUGAUUUCUUCGGAAUGAUUUUAAGUGGAGUAGUGGCGGACGGGUGAGUAACGCGUGAGUAACCUGCCUUGGAGAAGGGGAUAGCCUUUGGAAACGAAGAAUAAUACCCUAUGAUAUGAUAAUAUCUCAUGAUAUUAUCAUCAAAGAUUUAUCGCUCUAAGAUGGACUUGCGUCUGAUUAGUUAGUUGGUGAGGUAACAGCUCACCAAGGCAGCGAUCAGUAGCCGGCUUGAGAGAGUGUACGGCCACAUUGGGACUGAGACACGGCCCAGACGCGUACGGGAGGCAGCAGUGGGGAAUUUUGCACAAUGGGGGAAACCCUGAUGCAGCGAGGCCGCGUGAUUUAGAAGGCCUUCGGGUUGUAAAAAUCUUUUGUAUGGGAAGAAAAUGACAGUACCAUACGAAUAAGGACCGGCUAAUUACGUG
rnacentral:rRNA from 1 species